UACGGGGGGGGGCAAACGUUGUUCGGAAUUACUGGGCGUAAAGGGCUCGUAGGCGGCCAACUAAGUCAGACGUGAAAUCCCUCGGCUUAACCGGGGAACUGCGUCUGAUACUGGAUGGCUGGAGUUUGGGAGAGGGAUGCGGAAUUCCAGGUGUAGCGGUGAAAUGCGUAGAUAUCUGGAGGAACACCGGUGGCGAAGGCGGCAUCCUGGACCAACACUGACACUGAUGAGCGAAAGCCAGGGGAGCAAACGGG
rnacentral:rRNA from 1 species